AUCACUUCUUGGCCUUUUGGCUAAGAUCAAGUGUGAUACUUUUGAAUAACCUAACAUAGCUCUUUAUCUGGUGUCCCUAAAUUAAGCAUUUUAGAAUAAUUAAGGACAUCUUUGCAAGCAGUGUAUUACUUCUGGAUUAAAAAGAAUCCAA
rnacentral:snRNA from 1 species